AAUCGACGCCGCACGCACGUACCGGGAGCAUUUAAAUAAUUUUUUCUGUGGAUUAAUUUAAACUAAAAAGGAUUUAACACAAUGACUGAACGCGAGAACAAUGUCUACAAGGCAAAAUUGGCCGAACAGGCUGAACGAUACGAUGAAAUGGUUGAGGCCAUGAAGAAGGUCGCCUCCAUGGACGUUGAGCUGACCGUUGAGGAGCGUAAUUUGCUCUCGGUUGCCUAUAAGAAUGUCAUUGGUGCACGACGUGCGUCAUGGCGUAUUAUCACCUCGAUUGAACAGAAAGAGGAGAACAAAGGCGCCGAAGAGAAACUGGAGAUGAUCAAAACCUAUCGCGGUCAAGUUGAGAAGGAGCUGCGCGACAUUUGCUCGGAUAUAUUGAAUGUGCUAGAGAAACAUCUCAUUCCAUGCGCCACCUCUGGCGAAAGCAAAGUAUUCUACUAUAAGAUGAAGGGUGAUUAUCAUCGUUAUUUGGCUGAAUUUGCCACCGGUUCGGAUCGCAAGGACGCCGCAGAGAAUUCAUUGAUUGCCUAUAAGGCAGCAAGUGAUAUUGCCAUGAACGAUCUGCCACCAACACACCCAAUUCGUUUGGGUUUGGCAUUGAAUUUCUCGGUAUUCUACUAUGAGAUACUCAAUUCGCCGGAUCGCGCUUGCCGCUUGGCGAAAGCCGCAUUCGAUGAUGCCAUUGCUGAGUUGGAUACGCUGAGCGAAGAGAGCUACAAAGACUCGACACUUAUUAUGCAGCUGCUGCGAGACAACCUCACAUUAUGGACGUCCGAUAUGCAGGCAGAUGUGGAACCCCAACCAGGUGAUGGCGAGCAGAAAGAGCAAAUUCAGGAUGUUGAGGAUCAGGAUGUGUCGUAAUUUAAGUAAACCCCCGCCCUUCCAUUUAAACACAUUAUAUACCUUCUAAAAGUAACAACAACCACUCACACAGAAUUCAACCCAACCACACCAUACCAGAGACAGACCCCGCAUCCAUACCCCCAAACCAAAAUCAAACGCAUUGCGACAGUAUUGGGCAACGGCAUUGCAACAGAAGCAGCAGCGACAACAACAACAAUCAGAGAACAGCAAUCAAGAAAGAAUAAGUAACGGCACAAAACAACAUCAAAUAGCAACAACUGCAUGUGGGCGUAGCUGCGACGCCUGAGAGAAAGAUUUGGGAGAGAGUUGUGUUGUGUUUUAUCUCUCUCUUCAUCGAGCGAAUUUGGCCGGCGGCCCUUCUCUGUGUAACCAACAACAUCCAUAAGAACAUUUACAAUACCAGCAGCAGCAAAUUCUACUACAUUUGAAAUUUUUGCAUUCGAGAAAAAGCAUUAUAUAUUAUGUAUAAAUAAAUAUUAUAUUUAAUUACGAGAAGCAAAAACACAAAUAAAAAUUCAUUUAAACAAACAAAAUUAAUGAAAACAACAACAAAAACAACAAAAUGGCGCCUCUUCUAUUCAUCAAGAGAGUUGGCAAGAAUAAAAAUUACAAUUAAUUUUAGACGUACGUACAGCAGCAUGAAAUUCACCAUACAACACACACACAUACACAGUAAUAAUACAACUUUAAUUUUAAGCAGAAAUUCAAAUAAAAGUAACGUUUAUAAACAAAUUCAAUAUAUAUUGAUUAUAAACAGAAAAAGAAAAAAUGGAAGAACAAUUAAUAAACGCAACUGCAACUUAAAAAGAAUGAAGAAAGAAGUGUAAGCAAAAAAGAAAUAACUCGAAAACCGCAAAUAAUUUAAAUUUAAAAAUAAAAUAAAACCGAAAUGUGAGAAAACGAAAUGAGCAAAAAAUAAAAAGUGAAGCUAAACUAAAGAGAAUGUUAAAGCAAAUAAAAGCAAAAUAAAUGGCAUAGCGCAGGCGAGGGAAACGAAUUCUUAAGCUUAAAUUGUAAGUGUAUUGUUUCACACACUCACAGACAUCCGUACACAUACACAAGCACAAUUACACUGCAAUUAAAACAAAAGCAGCAGCAGCAAUCA